rnacentral:lncRNA from 1 species
AACGAAGGGUACUGCGAUAACUGAUGAGCAAAGCAGGUAACCACCUCACUAGAACUGAAGGAAAAAUGUACAUGAGAGUAUGAGACCUGAUGGCCCAACCCAGUCUCUUACCGUUGGAAAGGGAUGGCAUAGUGUUGAGGUAGCAAAAACACAAGAUCACAUAUUCAUCCUGCCACGGCAGCAGCACAGCGCCCAUGACCACACAACAGGGUGUGUUAGCUUCCGAAAUCUUUGCUCUGGGGCUCUGCUAAUGGGAAGAAACGAUUGUCAGCAGAGUACAAAUUUUCACAGUCAACAUAGCAUACACAAAACAUCGACACAAAAAUUCUACAGGUGGAUCUAACAAGGAACUAUGUGAUUUGGAACAUCCAGCCUCAUAUUUUCCCUUGCAGUUGCAGACCACCACUGCAUUGCCAUUUAAUUUCCCACCAUACGUCGGCUCAGACCACUGGAGAACUGGACUUAGAGGUAACAAGGCUAUAGACAUAGUUCAUGCAACUAAUUAACUGGAUAGAACAUAACAAUUUGGAGAGGAAAUAAAAACAUAUUGCACCAUGUAAAAGACAAACGGACAAGUUGUUUGACAGCUCUCGAUAUCAUUCGAUGUUUCCAAACUUAGAUCAAUGAUUCACACGUUUCAGUGGCCUACUUAUUGUUUGAUAUUGAGCUCAUGUCUGAAAGGAAUAAAUGCAGGUAGGCCUAGUACAUCCCUGAACAAACACGACAAGAUAAACUUUAUCAAAAGAUUCCCGUGUAUCUACAAUCUGUCGGAUAAAGCAUUCUUUUAGUAACAGAGACAUUGGUAAAUCAUAGGAAAGUGACAAGAUAUAUAGUUAGACGUACUGGUCAGAUCUUCCAAGAAAUAGCUCAAAUGGAAAUAAAAGCUAAGUACUAAGGAGGUACUGAAAAGUAAAAGCACAUGUGAAGAACACAAUAAGUGUUCGAAUCAGACAAAUUAAAAGGACAAGGAGCAUAACUUGCUAACUGGAUAUAAUUUGACUGAAAUGUGUAAAGUUACAAUAUGUUGUACAUUUUCUCCAAAGAAGACCGGGCUAAUAUUUCUGAAGUUUUAGAUGAAGGAGUAUCGGUGCUUAUGAGAAUGCAGAGAAGUGGUGGCUGAGUAAUGAGUGUCAUCUUGUUCUGAAUAUAUAUUGCCAUGAGAUUUUUCAGUAAUAUGAGGGUUGAUCUUGCUUUUUGGUUACUGAAUACCAUUGACUAUGUCCAACCUACUCUUAAUAGUUAAGCAACUCAACAUCUCAUUGCACUCUUUUUCCAAAAGUACAAAGCAAUAGUUCCACUAAUAAUUAGUUAUCGGCUCAUUGCAAUUGAAUUCAACUUUGAUCGAGUAAUGUGUGUCUACAUUGGUUUGUUAAGUCUUCUUGAAGUUGGAGCAUUGAUACUUUAGACAAAACACAAAUGAUGAACAGAUGGAGGUAAUUUAACUGUCAAGAACUCAAGAUGCUGAACAUCAGAAUAUUCUAAGAUUAAAAGAAAAUAUGCUUUAGUUGAUUCUCAAUUCUGUCAUGCUACACGUUUGUGCUCUGAAAACUUAUAAAUGGUUUAUAGUAAAUGCAUUUGAACUUUGUCAUGUUACAUGUUUGUGGUCUCAAGAACUGACGAGUGGUUAGUAGGAAAUGCAGUUCACACAUAUAUAAAUCUACUUUGAUUUAAACAAAUGAUAAACAAAUAUAAUGGGGGAAGCGAUGAGAAGGCAUUGCCACUAACUACUGCAAUGCAAUCCAUAACUGAAAUUUUUUUUUAGGGUCAACGGGGGGAGAGCAUCAAUAACUGAAAGAUGGAGCUAUAAAAUGUCUCUGAGAGAACAAAAUUUAGUAAUUAAGAUGCUUUACAAAUUCAAAGCAAAGUUGAGAAAAAAUGAGGUAGUUCAGCUAUCAUUUCGUGAUGAACUCUGCAUCCAUACUCAGGCAUCUGCAUCUAUCCACGGCGCCUGUGUGAUGCAGAGUUCAUCCGCAAAAUGAUGUGCUGGCAGCCUGGCACAGAUUUUAAUCCCAGUAUUAAUGCCAAUCAACUUUCAUCACCAGUUUUGGAAAUUACUUUUGCUAAGAUAGAUGAACAUGACAAACUCGGUAGGUAUCAAAUUGCAUUCACAAAUCCAACCAGACCCAGUUUAAUUUCAGGAAGAACGUGGCCGGAGGCCCUCCUUGACCAGGAAACUCACCUCCCGCCUCCCGGCAAGUCAGCACCGACACAUUGCUCUCCAGUCUCCACACCGCGUGAUCUCCGAGCGUCAACUCCGUCAAACCCGUGGACUCCGAUCACCGUUCGUGCUGCUCCUCCGCCGCUCUGCCGCCGUUUCCCGCUGUCAGACUCGGGGCACCAUCAGGCUCUUGGCCGGCGGCGUUCAAGCUGAGCACCUGGUGCCUAACACCGGCGUUGUCGGUUGUCUCCUCCCAUCCGUUGCUCGGAGGUGGCCGCAACGCCGGGGACACGGCACGGGUCUCGCCGUCGCGGCGGCGGCGAGGAGGAUUCAGAAUCUCAGACGAAGGGACCCCCGACUCUUCUCGUCAUAUUACCAUUUUGCCCACCCUUACAAGUUGGAUAACGCGG